rnacentral:rRNA from 1 species
AUCAACUUUCGAUGGUAGGAUAGAGGCCUACCAUGGUGGUAACGGGUAACGGGGUGUUAGGGCACGACACCGGAGAGGGAGCCUGAGAAACGGCUACCACAUCCAAGGAUGGCAGCAGGCGCGCAAAUUACCCAAUCCCGACACGGGGAGGUAGUGACAAUAAAUAACAAUACGGGGUUCUUUCGGAUCUCGUAAUUGGAAUGAGUACAAUUUAAAUCUCUUAACGAGGAACAAUUGGAGGGCAAGUCUGGUGCCAGCAGCCGCGGUAAUUCCAGCUCCAAUAGCGUAUAUUAAAGUUGUUGCAGUUAAAAAGCUCGUAGUUGAAUUUCGGGAUCAAUGUUUCGGUCAUGCCGUUGGUAUGUACUGAUAUUAUUGGUUUCUCACCUUCUAAAGAACCGUAAUGCCAUUAAUUUGGUGUCACGGGGAAUUAGGACUGUUACUUUGAAAAAAUUAGAGCGUUUAAAGCAGGAUCACGCUUGAAUACAUUAGCAUGGAAUAAUGAAAUAGGACAUCCGAUUCUAUUAUGUUAGUUUCUAGGAUCGAUGUAAUGAUUAAUAGGGAUAGUUAGGGGCAUUAGUAUUCAAUUGUCAGAGGUGAAAUUCUUGGAUUUAUUGAAGACUAACUACUGCGAAAGCAUUUGCCAAGGAUGUUUUCAUUAAUCAAGAACGAAAGUUAGGGGAUCGAAGACGAUCAGAUACCAUCGUAGUCUUAACCAUAAACUAUGCCAACUAGGGAUCAGAUGAUGUUAAUUUUUUAAUGGCUCAUUCGGCGCCUUACAGGAAACCAAAGUGUUUGGGUUC